rnacentral:rRNA from 1 species
AGAACGAACGCUGGCGGCACGCCUAACACAUGCAAGUCGAGCGCCCAGCAAUGGGAGCGGCGGACGGGUGAGGAACACGUGGGAACAUGCCUUUCGGUUCGGCACAACUGCGGGAAACUGCAGCUAAUUCCGGAUACGCCCUUACGGGGAAAGAUUUAUCGCCGAAAGAUUGGCCCGCGUCUGAUUAGCUAGUUGGUGAGGUAAUGGCUCACCAAGGCUUCGAUCAGUAGCUGGUUUGAGAGAACGACCAGCCACACUGGGACUGAGACACGGCCCAGACUCCUACGGGAGGCAGCAGUGGGGAAUCUUGGACAAUGGAGGAAACUCUGAUCCAGCGAUGCCGCGUGAGUGAUGAAGGCCUUCGGGUUGUAAAACUCUUUUACCAGGAAGAUAAUGACUGUACCUGGAGAAUAAGCCCGGCUAACUUCGCGCCAGCAGCCGC